ensembl:snoRNA
GUGGCCCUGAAUCAAGGCCGGCACUUUCUGAAGCUGUUGGCUUCAAGCAGGAGCCUAAAGUGCUGUCUCUCUAUGGUCUGUUGGCCAUUUCAGAACUUUAGACAUGCAAUGGCCAAUUCAUUAGAAAGAAACAAGU